UGGGGAAUAUUGCACAAUGGGCGAAAGCCUGAUGCAGCAACGCCGCGUGAGGGACGACGGCCUUCGGGUUGUAAACCUCUUUUAGCAAGGAAGAAGCGAAAGUGACGGUACUUGCAGAAAAAGCGACCGGCUAACUACGUGCCAGCAGCCGCGGUAAUACGUAGGGCGCAAGCGUUAUCCGGAAUUAUUGGGCGUAAAGAGCUCGUAGGCGGUUUGUCGCGUCUGCUGUGAAAACCCGAGGCUCAACCUCGGGCCUGCAGUGGGUACGGGCAGACUAGAGUGCGGUAGGGGAGAUUGGAACUCCUGGUGUAGCGGUGGAAUGCGCAGAUAUCAGGAAGAACACCGAUGGCGAAGGCAGAUCUCUGGGCCCGUAACUGACGCUGAGGAGCGAAAGGGUGGGGAGCAAACAGGCUUAGAUACCCUGGUAGUCCACCCCGUAAACGUUGGGAACUAGUUGUGGGGUCCAUUCCACGGAUUCCGUGACGCAGCUAACGCAUUAAGCUCCCCGCCUGGGGAGUACGGCCGCAAGGCUAAAACUUAAAGGAAUUGACGGGGUCAUAGCUGUUUCCU
rnacentral:rRNA from 1 species